GCCUUCAUGAAGCUGGAAUUGCUAGUAAUGGCAGGUCAGCAUACUGCCGUGAAUACGUUCCCGGGCCUUGUACACACCGCCCGUCACACCAUGAGAGUUGGAAAUACCCGAAGCCUGUGAGCUAACAGUAAUGAGGCAGCAGUCGAAGGUAGAGCCAAUGAUUGGGGUGAAGUCGUAACAAGGUAGC
rnacentral:rRNA from 1 species